GCCGCGGUAAUACGUAGGGGGCGAGCGUUGUCCGGAUUUAUUGGGCGUAAAGCGCACGUAGGCGGCUCGUUAAGUCAGGGGUGAAAUCCUGGAGCUCAACUCCAGAACUGCCCUUGAUACUGGUGAGCUCGAGUCCGGGAGAGGUGAGUGGAACUGCGAGUGUAGAGGUGAAAUUCGUAGAUAUUCGCAAGAACACCAGUGGCGAAGGCGGCUCACUGGCCCGGUACUGACGCUGAGGUGCGAAAGCGUGGGGAGCAAACAG
rnacentral:rRNA from 1 species